GUUCAAUUCAUCUGCAAAUAUCCUGGAGCAAAUAAAAAAUAUGACCACGUCAAUGUAGUUUUUCCCAAUAGAACAAGCUUACGAAGCUCUCUGAAGGAUGUUUGGGACAAUAAAGGCAGAUUUUCUCUGUACCAUGAUACAAAACAUAAAACUCUGAUGGUGGGCAUCAGAGAUCUUAAACAAGCAGACUUUGGGACGUACAGAUGUGAAUUUGAUCAAGGCUCAAACAGAUCUCCUGUCAAAAAGGAAUUGGAUUAUGAAAACUGCCAGCAGCCAUUUACUCAAACUGUGACCAGAGGAGCUAACAUCAAGUGUCAUUAUCCAGAUGUUGAUUUCAAGUCCGGGGUCCAGUUUUUCUGCAGAGGGGAGAAUUUCACCUGUAAGGAUAUUUUGUCAACAAAAGGUCAGAGGUUAAACGGGAAAUUCAGACUCACAAACACCAACAGAGGCUUCAACGUGUCCAUCAGUGGUGUUUCCUCACAGGACGCUGGUGUCUACUGGUGUGGAGUGGAAUCAAAGGAUGGAAGCUACAGAGUUUCACUCAAACAAAUAAAACUGGAGGUUGAAGCUGGUUCUCCUUUAACUGUGGUCAUCACUGCGGCUGUCCUCGUUGCUCUCCUGCUACUUGUGGUUAUUGCGGUUUUCACCUACAAAUGUUUUUCAUGGUCAAAACACAGAAAGAAUGGAGAGGCACAGAACAAAGAAGAUAAUAUCUAUGAGGCAAUACACGAGUCUUCCCAGAAGUCCGUCACAAGACCUGCAAUGAAAACAGUUUAUGCCACUACCAACUUCCCCACAAACCCAGCUUUCUUCAUGCAUGAAUCCAAAGUCAAGGUUUAAAACAUCUCUGGUGAGGCUGACUCUGAUACAGAUUGUAGUCAGUGGAAACCAGGCCAGCAUGAUACGAAGUCUACAGCAAAUCAUCCAUCCAGAGUUUCAAUUGACAAUUUCUACUCCCUGUCGUUGCAAUGCCACUGCGGCACUGAGAAGGGUUAAGUCCUGACUGCUCCUCUAUUUACUGCUUGCUUUCUAGCUAUUAAAAUUUGAUGAUCUGGGAAAUUUCAAACCUUUUCUUGAUGCAUCCAAAAUCUAUAAGAACUUUUCAGCUGUACAGAUCUAGGGCAGUGACCUGGGUGGGAAUGAAUGUGAUUAUUUUGCCAGAUCCUAUGUUAUUUACGUUUAUAUUUUUUUCCUUUAUUUCACUUUUGUAAUCCUUCUCUUCUCUAUUUGUUUAUAUGUAUGAAGGAAAUAUUCUUAAUAAAAAAGCCAUUGUUUAAAAUGAUGAUCUGAAAAAUGUAAGAUGUAAAAAAUAUGCAAAAAAACAUUAAAAGAAUAGAAAGAAAAAUCAGAAAGAUGGCAGAAUACUUGUUCACAGCACUAUAUUAAAAAAUGCAAGCCUAUUAUAGGCCAGAAAAGGGAAGACAUGGUGUGUUUGCCACCCACAGUUACCUGGACAAGCAAGGACAGAGCAGGCAUCUGCCCCCCACUGUUGAUCCAAACCAGCAAAUCUACUGAAAGAUAUUAGGCUACGUUCAAACUGCAGGUCUUGAUGCUCAAUUCCGAUUUUUUGAUCAAAUCCGAUUUUUUUGUCUGCUUGUUCACACUACAAAUAAAAUGCGACAGCAAACGCGCUCUAGUGUGAACGCUCAAAGCGGCCGCAUGCGCAAAAGAAGACGUCACACACAACGCGCUCUGGUUAGACCCAGAGCAAACAAUAUUGUUUGACUGAUGGCCUUAAUAUAAAGACUUCGGACUUUACAUUUCCCAAUUUUUACUUUAAGUUAUUUUGUUAUUUACAUAAUAAUGUAAAUAACCUAAUAAUGAUCCUUAUUUCUGUUUUAGAGGAGCGCUGCUUCAAAGGAUAGCUGCAGAUUUCUGUCAGAAUCUGCAGAUUAUACAGUACAAAGAAAAUGUUCACGUUGUCUUCCCAACAGUUUCACUGACAUCUACACUGGAUGGCCAGGAAGCGUUCGCGGUGUCUUCUCCGGGGCUGAUAAUUAGCGUCUGUCUUGUGUCAGUGACGUAAAAGACGGAUUUAAUGCGACAUGACCGUCAAACAGCAGUCGCUUCCUAAAACAUCGGAUAUGUAUCGUGAUGCGCUUUCGCCUGCAGUGUGAACGUAGCCUUAGUGUCAUGGUUGGCUGUGUGGCAGGCAGGCAGGAAAAAAGGACCCAAACUUGACACUGAGAGAGACAUGAAGAAUAUGACACAAAACAGAGAAGACAGUGACUUAAACUGGAGGCCAGAACACCAAAUAAAGUAAAGAGAACAAAACUAAGAAUAACCCUUAAUACCAAAUCAAACCAGCACAACUCAAAAA
ensembl:lncRNA